rnacentral:rRNA from 1 species
AUUGAACGCUGGCGGCAUGCCUUACACAUGCAAGUCGAACGGUAACAGGUCUUCGGAUGCUGACGAGUGGCGAACGGGUGAGUAAUACAUCGGAACGUGCCCGAGAGUGGGGGAUAACGAAGCGAAAGCUUUGCUAAUACCGCAUACGAUCUCAGGAUGAAAGCAGGGGACCGCAAGGCCUUGCGCUCACGGAGCGGCCGAUGGCAGAUUAGGUAGUUGGUGGGAUAAAAGCUUACCAAGCCGACGAUCUGUAGCUGGUCUGAGAGGACGACCAGCCGCACUGGGACUGAGACACGGCCCAGACUCCUACGGGAGGCAGCAGUGGGGAAUUUUGGACAAUGGGCGCAAGCCUGAUCCAGCCAUGCCGCGUGCAGGAUGAAGGCCUUCGGGUUGUAAACUGCUUUUGUACGGAACGAAAAGACUCUGGUUAAUACCUGGGGUCCAUGACGGUACCGUAAGAAUAAGCACCGGCUAACUACGUGCCAGCAGCCGCCGUAAUAC